GCUUAGUGGCGAACGGGUGAGUAACACGUAGGCAACCUGCCCAAAAGAGGGGGAUAACACUUGGAAACAGGUGCUAAUACCGCAUAACCAUGAACACCGCAUGAUGUUCAUGUAAAAGACGGCUUUUGCUGUCACUUUUGGAUGGGCCUGCGGCGUAUUAACUUGUUGGUGGGGUAACGGCCUACCAAGGUGAUGAUACGUAGCCGAACUGAGAGGUUGAUCGGCCACAUUGGGACUGAGACACGGCCCAAACUCCUACGGGAGGCAGCAGUAGGGAAUCUUCCACAAUGGACGAAAGUCUGAUGGAGCAACGCCGCGUGAAUGAAGAAGGCCUCCGGGUCGUAAAAUUCUGUUGUCAGAGAAGAACGUGCGUGAGAGUAACUGUUCACGUAUUGACGGUAUCUGACCAGAAAGCCACGGCUAACUACGUGCCAGCAGCCGCGGUAAUACGUAGGUGGCGAGCGUUGUCCGGAUUUAUUGGGCGUAAAGGGAACCAGGCGGUCUUUUAAGUCUGAUGUGAUAGCCUUCGGCUUAACCGAAGUAGUGCAUUGGAAACUGGAAGACUUGAGUGCAGAAGAGGAGAGUGGAACUCCAUGUGUAGCGGUGAAAUGCGUAGAUAUAUGGAAGAACACCAGUGGCGAAAGCGGCUCUCUGGUCUGUAACUGACGCUGAGGUUCGAAAGCGUGGGUAGCAAACAGGAUUAGAUACCCUGGUAGUCCACGCCGUAAACGAUGAGUGCUAAGUGUUGGAGGGUUUCCGCCCUUCAGUGCUGCAGCUAACGCAUUAAGCACUCCGCCUGGGGAGUACGGUCGCAAGACUGAAACUCAAAGGAAUUGACGGGGGCCCGCACAAGCGGUGGAGCAUGUGGUUUAAUUCGAAGCAACGCGAAGAACCUUACCAGGUCUUGACAUCUUCUGACAAUUCCAGAGAUGGAACGUUCCCUUCGGGGACAGAAUGACAGGUGGUGCAUGGUUGUCGUCAGCUCGUGUCGUGAGAUGUUGGGUUAAGUCCCGCAACGAGCGCAACCCUUAUUGUCAGUUGCCAUCAUUAAGUUGGGCACUCUGGCGAGACUGCCGGUGACAAACCGGAGGAAGGUGGGGAUGACGUCAAAUCAUCAUGCCCCUUAUGACCUGGGCUACACACGUGCUACAAUGGACGGUACAACGAGUCGCUAACUCGCGAGGGCAAGCUAAUCUCUUAAAGCCGUUCUCAGUUCGGAUUGCAGGCUGCAACUCGCCUGCAUGAAGUCGGAAUCGCUAGUAAUCGCGAAUCAGCAUGUCGCGGUGAAUACGUUCCCGGGCCUUGUACACACCGCCCGUCACACCAUGAGAGUUUGUAACACCCAAAGUCGGUGGGGUAACC
rnacentral:rRNA from 1 species